rnacentral:rRNA from 1 species
GGAUCAUUACAGAGUUAUCUACUCGCCAACCCUUCUGUGAACCUAUCCUGCUCGUUGCCUCGGCGCGAGCUCCUGGGCCAAGUUACCCUGUAGCUGCCUACCCUGGAGCCCGCCGGUGGACAUUUCAAACUCUUGUUUUAAACAUGGCAUCUGAGCGUCUUAUUUUAAUAAGUCAAAACUUUCAACAACGGAUCUCUUGGUUCGGGCAUCGAUGAAGAACGCAGCGAAAUGCGAUAAGUAAUGUGAAUUGCAGAAUUCAGUGAAUCAUCGAAUCUUUGAACGCACAUUGCGCCCAUUAGUAUUCUAGUGGGCAUGCCUGUUCGAGCGUCAUUUCAACCCUUAAGCCUAGCUUAGCGUUGGGAGUCCACCGUCAAACGUGGUUCCCCAAAACCAGUGGCGGAGCGGCGGUCGUCCUCUGAGCGUAGUAAUUCUCUUUAUCUCGCUUCUGUCAGGCGCCGCCGGCCCGGCCGUUAAACCCCCCAUCUUUUAGUGGUUGACCUCGGAUCAGGUAGGAAUACCCGCUGAACUUAAGCAUAUCAAUAAGCGGAGGAAAAGAAACCAACAGGGAUUCCCCUAGUAACGGCGAGUGAAGCGGGAACAGCUCAAAUUUGAAAUCUGGCCCUCGGGUCCGAGUUGUAAUUUGUAGAGGAUGCUUUUGGCGCGGUGCCUUCCGAGUUCCCUGGAACGGGACGCCUUAGAGGGUGAGAGCCCCGUACGGUUGGACGCCAAGCCUCUGUAAAGCUCCCUCGACGAGUCGAGUAGUUUGGGAAUGCUGCUCAAAACGGGAGGUAUAUUUCUUCUAAAGCUAAAUAUUGGCCCGAGACCGAUAGCGCACAAGUAGAGUGAUCGAAAGAUGAAAAGCACUUUGAAAAGAGGGUUAAAUAGCACGUGAAAUUGUUGAAAGGGAAGGAUUUGUGACCAGACUUUCUCCAGGCGGAUCAUCCGGUGUUCUCACCGGUGCACUUCGCCUGGUCAAGGCCAGCAUCGGUUUCCGCAGGGGGACAAAAGCUUCGGGAAUGUGGCUCCCUCGGGAGUGUUAUAGCCCGUUGCAUAAUACCCUUGUGGGGACCGAG